GAUGAACGCUGGCGGCGCGCCUAACACAUGCAAGUCGAACGGUUAAAGCACCUUUUAGGUGUGUAUAAAGUGGCGAACGGCUGAGUAACACGUGGGCAACCUGCCCUCCUCUUGGGGAUAGCCUCGGGAAACCGAGGAUAAUACCCGAUACUUCAAUGUGGCCGCAUGACGACAUUGAGAAAGCUUUUGCGGAGAAGGAUGGGCCCGCGGCCUGUUAGCUUGUUGGUGGGGUAGAGGCCUACCAAGGCAAUGAUGGGUAGCUGGGUUGAGAGACCGACCAGCCAGAUUGGGACUGAGACACGGCCCAGACUCCUACGGGAGGCAGCAGUGGGGAAUCUUGCACAAUGGGCGAAAGCCUGAUGCAGCGACGCCGCGUGCGGGACGAAGGCCUUCGGGUUGUAAACCGCUUUCAGCAGGGACGAGGCGAAAGUGACGGUACCUGCAGAAGAAGCCCCGGCUACA
rnacentral:rRNA from 2 species